CUUAAGCAGUUCUGAAUCUUCUUUUUGAGAAAAAUCUAACUGUAACUGCAAGCACUUUCAUAACCUACCUCACCCACGUCAUCUGGGAAAGUAUAAGUCAGAUUCCACAAUUACCCCAACAGAAUGUCAAUUGUGCCACUGGAAUGUCUCAUAUCAAAAGCCGUUGGAAUUUGCUUCGUUUAACCACAUAGAAUAACUGUACCCUUGGUGCUGCCAGAAAGCUCAGUCUGCGAUUGAUUGCUGUAGUUCUCUCCCAGAGCACAGUUGAGUUGAUUGCUUUUUUGAGAAAGCCUCUAAGGGAUUUGCUGUCUGUGUGCCUAUUGGGCUGUCUGUGCCCCUGGCUGGAGCAGAAACUGAGGAAGGAAGAUCCUACGGCUCAUCAAGUAAAACGGUCUUUUGGGGAAGAAGCAUUCUUAGAAAUGCUGCACCAAGAGUUGGAAUUGAGAAUUCAGAAAACAUGAUAGAGAAGGAACAGGAAGAAACCAUUUGGACAUCCAAAAAUAAAAGGCCAGGAGACAGAAUCUCACUUUGUUGCCCAGGCUGGUGGUCUCUAACUCCUGGACUUAAGCAAUCCUCCCGCCUCAGCCUCCCAAAGUGCUGGGAUCACAGGUCUGAUUAUAAAAGGAGAAUUGGAGGCUUACCAAACAUCUGAAGAGCUUUCCAGAAGUUUGGUCACUUCUGAAUUAGAGAAGUUAAAACCCAAUCACCUACUAAUGCUGUGGGAAAGUUCUGCAGGUGAUACAUCACAGGGGCUCAUGAAUGUGUCUUAAGCUGGGUCAUUGAAGUGGAAUGUUUUCACAAGACCUCCUCCACUUGCUACUGUGUCCGGAAUUGGUGGGUUCUUGGUCUCACUGACUUCAAGAAUGAAGCCGCGGACCCUCGCGGGAGUGGCAAAUCAAAGGCAUUGCAGCCUCUUUCAUCACUGCCGAUUGCUGAUGCCAACCAUGUGCCAAGUGCUUAAUACGUCACCUUAAAUCUUCUCAUCCACCCUCAGAGUAGCUGCAGCAUCAACCCAGUGCCCUGACUUUCAAGACGACUAUGAAAACACCCCAACUGCUGCUAAAUUACCAGCAACAAGGAUCUGGAAUUUUCCUGACAAGAGCAGUGCCUAUCCUGAGGCAAUCGUAUUUCUCCUUGACUUCUCUCCAGUAUCAGCUUGUUGCUUGACACCCCUGCACAGCCAACUGUGUAAUGUGGGUGAGUCUAGCUGCAUUUUCUUCAGACACAAGCCUGGCUACCCAGUGCUAAGGUGACAUCAGGCCAGGCCACAACAUUCUUAUUCAAAAGAAAGAACACCGAAAUUGACCUUACCCUGACAAUAUGAUGGCUGAAGGAUUUAUGAUCACUUAUAACAUUUGAAAUUGAGGCGGAACCUGAAGAAUAAGACUCUGGUGAAAGGUCCUAUUUAUGCUUUUGAUGUCUUUCACUUGGACAUUUACCACAUGCCUAUUGAUGGCCGGUUUGACACAAAUUAGAACAACCUUGAUAGCUGUCAACUGGAGACUAUCUGAGAACAAAAGGACAUUAUUGCAAACCAGCACUGGAGGCAACUCUGAAAGAAGAUAAAAGUACAUGAAGAAAUCAUUUGCAGGCACUGGACAAAAAAGAGUGCAAAACUAUAAUCUUGAGAGCAGGACACACACAG
rnacentral:lncRNA from 1 species